rnacentral:rRNA from 1 species
ACGAACGCUGGCGGCGUGCUUAACCCAUGCAAGUCGCACGGUGAACUCCGCUUGCGGGGGGAUCAGUGGCGAACGGGUGAGUAACACGUGGGCAACCUGCCCUCAGCUCUGGGAUAACUCCAAGAAAUUGGGGCUAAUACCGGAUAUGACCGCUGACCGCAUGGUCUGGUGGUGGAAAGAUUUAUCGGCUGGGGAUGGGCCCGCGGCCUAUCAGCUUGUUGGUGGGGUAGUGGCCUACCAAGGCGACGACGGGUAGCCGGCCUGAGAGGGUGACCGGCCACACUGGGACUGAGACACGGCCCAGACUCCUACGGGAGGCAGCAGUGGGGAAUAUUGCGCAAUGGGCGAAAGCCUGACGCAGCGACGCCGCGUGGGGGAUGACGGCCUUCGGGUUGUAAACCUCUUUCAGCAGGGACGAAGCGAAAGUGACGGUACCUGCAGAAGAAGCACCGGCCAACUACGUG